AACGCAUAUUGCGCCCUUUGGUAUUCCGAAGGGCAUGCCUGUUCGAGCGUCAUUAUCAACCCCCAAGCUUAGCUUGUUGUUGGAAAUGUUAUUGAGAAUCAAUAACUCUCCCAAAGACAAUGGCGGUAUCUUUUGAACCCUCGAUGCAACGAGCUUCACAAAGCACGCAUUGAAAAGUGGUUAAUUGAUACUUGACCUUUCAUUUUAUUCUUAAGGUUGACCUCGGAUCAGGUAGGAAUACCCGCUGAACUUAA
rnacentral:misc_RNA from 1 species